rnacentral:rRNA from 1 species
GAUGAACGCUAGCGGGAGGCCUAACACAUGCAAGCUUAGCGGUAUUGUUUCUUCGGAAAUGAGAGAGCGGCGUACGGGUGCGGAACACGUGUGCAACCUGCCUUUAUCUGGGGGAUAGCCUUUCGAAAGGAAGAUUAAUACUCCAUAAUAUAUUGAACGGCAUCGUUUAAUAUUGAAAGCUCCGGCGGAUAGAGAUGGGCACGCGCAAGAUUAGCUAGUUGGUGAGGUAACGGCUCACCAAGGCGAUGAUCUUUAGGGGGCCUGAGAGGGUGAUCCCCCACACUGGUACUGAGACACGGACCAGACUCCUACGGGAGGCAGCAGUGAGGAAUAUUGGUCAAUGGGUGCAAGCCUGAACCAGCCAUCCCGCGUGAAGGACGACUGCCCUAUGGGUUGUAAACUUCUUUUGUAUAGGGAUAAACCUACCCUCGUGAGGGUAGCUGAAGGUACUAUACGAAUAAGCACCGGCUAACUCCGUGCCAGCAGCCGCGGUAAUACGGAGGGUGCAAGCGUUAUCCGGAUUUAUUGGGUUUAAAGGGUCCGUAGGCGGACUUAUAAGUCAGUGGUGAAAGCCUGUCGCUUAACGAUAGAACUGCCAUUGAUACUGUAAGUCUUGAGUAUAUUUGAGGUAGCUGGAAUAAGUAGUGUAGCGGUGAAAUGCAUAGAUAUUACUUAGAACACCAAUUGCGAAGGCAGGUUACCAAGAUAUAACUGACGCUGAGGGACGAAAGCGUGGGGAGCGAACAGGAUUAGAUACCCUGGUAGUCCACGCCGUAAACGAUGCUAACUCGUUUUUGGGCUUUAGGGUUCAGAGACCAAGCGAAAGUGAUAAGUUAGCCACCUGGGGAGUACGCUCGCAAGGGUGAAACUCAAAGGAAUUGACGGGGGCCCGCACAAGCGGUGGAUUAUGUGGUUUAAUUCGAUGAUACGCGAGGAACCUUACCAAGACUUAAAUGGGAAUUGACAGCUUUAGAAAUAGAGCUUUCUUCGGACAAUUUUCAAGGUGCUGCAUGGUUGUCGUCAGCUCGUGCCGUGAGGUGUUAGGUUAAGUCCUGCAACGAGCGCAACCCCUGUCACUAGUUGCCAUCAUUCAGUUGGGGACUCUAGUGAGACUGCCUACGCAAGUAGAGAGGAAGGUGGGGAUGACGUCAAAUCAUCACGGCCCUUACGUCUUGGGCCACACACGUAAUACAAUGGCCGGUACAGAGGGCAGCUACACAGCGAUGUGAUGCAAAUCUCGAAAGCCGGUCUCAGUUCGGAUUGGAGUCUGCAACUCGACUCUAUGAAGCUGGAAUCGCUAGUAAUCGCGCAUCAGCCAUGGCGCGGUGAAUACGUUCCCGGGCCU